GCUUGAGCUACAUCCCCCCCUGGAACAUAUUUACAUUAUUUAGAAAUGGGUCACUCAGUAGUGCCCCAUGCCAGAGCAAACUGUGGCCUUGAAUCAUUGCCUGGCCUCUGCCUGUAUUCUACAGGCACUGAAAUGGGUUGCAUAGUG
rnacentral:snoRNA from 1 species